ACCAAAUUAAAAUUCGAAUUUGGAUCCAAACCCGGCAGGUUUUAAAAAUCCAUACUCAUAUAUAGCUAUAUCCGAUCAAAAAUCUGAAACCCGAAUCCGGACCCGAACCCAGCGGGUUUUAAAAAUCCAUACCGUUGGAUGAAGUUCUAAGAAAUAAAAAAUUACUAGAUAUUUUAUAUAUUUAUUAAAUAAUCAAAUAUAU
rnacentral:lncRNA from 1 species